rnacentral:rRNA from 1 species
AUUGAACGCUGGCGGCAGGCCUAACACAUGCAAGUCGAACGGUAACAGGAAGCAGCUUGCUGCUUUGCUGCCGAGUGGCGGCCGGGUGAGUAAUGUCUGGGAAACUGCCUGAUGGAGGGGGAUAACUACUGGAAACGGUAGCUAAUACCGCAUAACGUCGCAAGACCAAAGAGGGGGACCUUCGGGCCUCUUGCCAUCGGAUGUGCCCAGAUGGGAUUAGCUAGUAGGUGGGGUAACGGCUCACCUAGGCGACGAUCCCUAGCUGGUCUGAGAGGAUGACCAGCCACACUGGAACUGAGACACGGUCCAGACUCCUACGGGAGGCAGCAGUGGGGAAUAUUGCACAAUGGGCGCAAGCCUGAUGCAGCCAUGCCGCGUGUAUGAAGAAGGCCUUCGGGUUGUAAAGUACUUUCAGCGGGGAGGAAGGGAGUAAAGUUAAUACCUUUGCUCAUUGACGUUACCCGCAGAAGAAGCACCGGCUAACUCCGUG